UGGCGGCGCGCCUAACAAUGCAAGUCGAACGGGAAAGUGGGCAACCAUGAGUACAGUGGCGUACGGGUGAGUAACACGUGGGUGAUCUACCUCUUAGUGGGGAAUAACCCUGGGAAACCGGGGCUAAUACCGCAUAAGCUCGAGAGAGGAAAGCAGCAAUGCGCUGAGAGAGGAGCCCGCGGCCGAUUAGCUAGUUGGUAGGGUAAAAGCCUACCAAGGCAAAGAUCGGUAGCCGGCCUGAGAGGGCACACGGCCACACUGGCACUGAAACACGGGCCAGACUCCUACGGGAGGCAGCAGUGGGGAAUCUUGCACAAUGGGGGAAACCCUGAUGCAGCGACGCCGCGUGAGCGAUGAAGCCCUUCGGGGUGUAAAGCUCUUUCGGCAGGGAAGAUGAUGACGGUACCUGCAGAAGCAGCUGCGGCUAACUACGUGCCAGCAGCCGCGGUAAUACGUAGGCAGCAAGCGUUGUUCGGAGUUACUGGGCGUAAAGGGUGUGUAGGCGGUCUUUUAAGUUUGGUGUGAAAUCUCCCGGCUCAACCGGGAGGGUGCGCCGAAUACUGAGGGACUCGAGUGCGGGAGAGGAAAGUGGAAUUCCUGGUGUAGCGGUGAAAUGCGUA
rnacentral:rRNA from 1 species